AUGGUCGUCGGCAUGCCGCCGAUCGCACGGGUGCACCAACUAUGCGAUGGGUGCGCCCUGGCCAAGAUGCACCGCACGCCGUUCCCGCUCGCAUCCCUGUAUCGCGCAGAGCGCGGCCUGGAGCUGGUGCACGGCGACUUGUGCGUUCCGGUGACGCCAGCGACACCAAGCGGCAACCGAUACUUUCUCCUCAUCAUCAACGACUACAGCCGCUACUUGUGGGUGGAGAUGCUGCGCACAAAGGAUGAGGCGUUCAAGUUCUUCCACAAGAUCAAGGUGCUUGCCGAGAGCGAGCGCGGCGUGAAGCUCCUGGCGUUCAGAACGGACCGGGGCGGUGAGUUCAACUCCAUCGCUUUCAAGUCUUACUGUGAUGAGAAUGGGGUCAAGAGAUACACGACGGCAUCGUACUCCCCACAGCAGAACGGUGUUGUGGAACGCCGGAACCAGACGGUGGUUGAGACCGCUCGCAGCCUGCUCAAAGCCAUGAAUGUGCCUGGUGAGUUCUGGGGUGAAGCUGUGAAGACGACUGUGCAUAUCCUGAACAGAGCGCCCAUGCGUGCUCUGGACGGUGUCACCCCCUACGAGGCUUGGCACGGUCGACGCCGAAUGCCGCUUACCUGCGCACUUUUGGGUGCACCUCCUUAG
rnacentral:rRNA from 1 species